UGAAUACGAGAUGCUACGGCGUCGAAGCAGUCUAUGUCAUACUUCCAAGAAAAGCUCGCACUGUCAUAAACAAAUAAUGCCUGUACCAUAACCGACACAGGUGGGUAGGUAGAGUAUACUAAGGGGCGCGAGAUAACUCUCUCUAAGGAACUCGGCAAAAUGACUCCGUAACUUCGGGAGAAGGAGUGCCUUAUUUAUAAGGUUGCAAUAACAAGAUCCAAGCAACUGUUUAUCAAAAACACAGGUCUCCGCUAAGUCGUAAGACGAUGUAUGGGGGCUGACGCCUGCCCAGUGCCAGAAGGUUAAAGAAGUUGGUUAGCAUUCGCGAAGCUGAUAACUGAAGCCCUGGUGAACGGCGGCCGUAACAAUAACGGUCCUAAGGUAGCGAAAUUCCUUGUCGGGUAAGUUCCGACCCGCACGAAAGGCGUAAUGAUUUGGAUACUGUCUCGGAGAGGGGCUCGGUGAAAUAGACUUGUCUGUGAAGAUGCGGACUACCUGCACCAGGACAGAAAGACCCUAUGAAGCUUUACUGUAACUUGAGAUUGAAAUUGGACUUUACUUGCGCAGUAUAGGUGGGAGGCGUUGAUAAUAUUCUUGCGGGAUUAUUUGAGCCAUCAGUGAGAUACCACUCUUGUAAUGUUAGAUUUCUAACUUUGUAUCAUUAUCUGGUCAAAGGACAGUUUCAGGCGGGCAGUUUGACUGGGGCGGUCGCCUCCUAAACGGUAACGGAGGCGCACAAAGGUUUCCUCUGAACGGGUAGAAAUCGUAUCUAGAGUGUAAAGGCAUAAGGAAGCUUGACUGUGAGACCUACAAGUCGAGCAGGGACGAAAGUCGGUCUUAGUGAUCUGACGGUGCUGAGUGGAAAGGCCGUCACUCAACGGAUAAAAGUUACUCUAAGGAUAACAGGCUGAUCUCCCCCAAGAGUUCACAUCGACGGGGAGGUUUGGCACCUCGAUGUCGGCUCAUCGCAUCCUGGGGCGGUAGUACGUCCCAAGGGUCGGGCUGUUCGCCCAUGAAAGCGGUACGCGAGCUGGGUUCAGAACGUCGUGAGACAGUUCGGUCCAUAUCCGGUGUAGGCGUUAGAAUAUUGAGAGGAGCCUUCUUUAGUACGAGAGGACCGAGAAGGACAUACCUCUGGUGUACCAGUUAUCGUGCCAACGGUAAACGCUGGGUAGCUAUGUAUGGAGUGGAUAACCGCUGAAAGCAUCUAAGUGGGAAGCCCACCUCAAGAUAAG
rnacentral:rRNA from 1 species